AGAAUGACUCUCGGCAACGGAUAUCUAGGCUCUUGCAUCGAUGAGAACGUAGCGAAAUGCGAUACUUGGUGUGAAUUGCAGAAUCCCGUGAACCAUCGAGUCUUUGAACGCAAGUUGCGCCCGAAGCCAUCAGGUUGAGGGCACGUCUGCCUGGGCGUCACAU
rnacentral:rRNA from 1 species